UUUUGUUUGCUACUAGUAGAUUGAGACGCUAUUGAAAUUGAAAGCUGUUAAUGAUCAAAUAAUUUAAUUAGUAUAUUAAUAUUACCAUCAUACUAUGUUAAUUCUACAAUCUACUUAAGUUAUUAAAAAAAAUUACAUGAUAAGUUAUAAAAAUUAAGAACAAAGGAAUAAGGAGUUAAGGACAGUGGCCACUGGUUACUGUUACAGUAACACAGUAACACUGUAACAGUGCAUACGAGCAUGUCACAGGUUCACUGUUACAGAUAGGGGUGUACAUAGGUCGGGUUGGUUCGGUUUUUUAUUAAAAUAUAACCAAACCAAUAAUGUCGGUUUUCUAAAUCUAUAAACCAAAUCAAACCAAUAUACAAUCGGUUUUUUUAUUUUAAUUUUAGUCGGGUUUUUUCGGUUUUUCGGUUUUCUUGAUUUUUUUACAAUUAUAAUGUGAUUGAAGGAACUGAAAAGAUAAAAAAAAAAAUGGUCAUAGAGUAGUUCUAAUAAAAAUUAAGUUGACAAAUUACUAAGACGUCUAAACUACUAUCUCUCAAAGUAAUAUUAUAUGGAUACCUAAGUAGUUCAAUUUCUAAGUCACUAGUCACAGUAGCUUAUCUGAAAGUUCCCUUCACAUAAAAUGUAAGCAUACAAAAGAAUGAAGAAUUGGAGACAACUUAUUAAAAACUUAACUCCAUAAAGUGAUUAAUUAUAACAUAAUUCCAUAAAAAAAAAAAAAGAAGAGAAACAAACCUAAAUCACAACUUGACGAAUGAGAAAAGUAAGAUGAAAGUAACAUGAGGAAAUAAUGAGAACUCUUUGAAAACUUGGAAGUAAAAUGUAAAAAGUGAAGCAAUAAAAGAGUUUUAGGUUUUUAUAUUAAUAUUGGGCUUUGUAUUAAUUUGUUAUUAAUGGAAAAAUACUAUAAUUAAAGGCCCAAGAAUAUAUAUCUAUUUUUUGAAUAUAAAAAAAAUAAUAAAAGUAAUUAGAAAGUAGAUUAUAAGUAAUAUUUUUUUACGUAUAAAAAAUUAAAAUUAUAUAUGUAUUACGUCGGUUCGGUUUGGGUUUGCUUUGGGUUCGGUUUGAUUUUAUUUUUGUUAAUACCAAAUCAAACCAAGAAUGAGCGGUUUUUUUUGCCAAGACCAAAACCAAACCAUAAGUCGGUUUUUUUCCUCGGUUUGGUUUGAUUCAUCGGUUCGGUUUGACUUAACGGUUCGGUUUGUACACCCUUAGUUACAGAUGAUGCCGGCUGCUAGAAAAUAGAAGAAAAAGAAGAUAAAAAGAGAAAGAAAAAAAAUAACAACACCAAAAGACAUAUCCAGUCGCUGGAUUAAGAAGAAGAAAGAAGAAAAAAAAAUUACCGGAGUUCCGGAAGUCGCCGGAGUUCGUCAUCGGUCGCCGGAAUCAAACUUGUGAGAUGAAGGGUAGUAGCCGUGGUCUUCAAUUUGUAAGUUGGCAGUGUUAAAAUGUGUAAAUAAACCCUAAAAAUAGCUUUAUAUAUCUAAAACCCUAAUUUUUUAAAAAACAAUUAAAAGGCGUCGCCUUUCUCGCCACGUCGCCUUUCUUGAAAAGGCAUCGCCUUUUCAUUUUCACCAUGCCAUGGACUGAAGAGGCGACAUAGGCUCGCCUCGCCUCGCCAUUCGCCUUUUACAACACUGUCCCCAGUAAGAUAACUUAUUGCAUGUUUGGCCAAGCUUAUUUUUUCCCGUAAGUGCUUAUUUUUUUCUCAAAAAGUGCUAUUUUUAAAAAAUGAGGUGUGUUUGGCCAAACCUUUGGAAGAAAUAAGUGCUUUUGUGGAAUAGAAAAAAUAGUUCUUCAUAAUCUAAAAAAGUAGCUUCUUUUUAAAAGCACUUUCUUGAAAAGCAUUUUUGAGAAAAAUACACAAAAAAGCAUUUCUAAAAAGCUUGGCAGUAAUUGCUGCUCAAAAGUGCUUUUUAAAUUCAUUGGCCUAACACAAACUGCUUCUCACAGUACUUUGGGAAAAGUACUUCUAAAAAAGCACUUUUCAAAAUAAUGAUUUUAGAAGUUUGAUCAAAUAGACUAUUAGAAGGUUAAAAGUAACUCACCUCCGAAGUAUAGUUUGCCACAAUUUAUCAUGGAUCAUAUGGUACUUAUAACAGAUAAUUUGCUGUAGGGACAACAAUUCUGGAUGCUAUGAAA
rnacentral:lncRNA from 1 species